UACGGGGGGGUAAGCGUUGUUCGGAAUUACUGGGCGUAAAGGGCUCGUAGGCGGCCAACUAAGUCAGACGUGAAAUCCCUCAGCUUAACUGGGGAACUGCGUCUGAUACUGGAUGGCUUGGAUUCGGGAGAGGAAUGCGGAAUUCCAGGUGUAGCGGUGAAAUGCGUAGAUAUCUGGAGGAAUCACCGGUGGCGAAGGCGGC
rnacentral:rRNA from 1 species